rnacentral:rRNA from 1 species
AGUCAUAUGCUUGUCUCAAUGAUUAAGCCAUGCAUGUGUAAGUAUAAACUCUUUUGUACUGUGAAACUGCGAAUGGCUCAUUAAAUCAGUUAUAGUUUCUUUGAUGGUACCUUGCUACUCGGAUAACCGUAGUAAUUCUAGAGCUAAUACAUGCGUACAGACCCGACUUCUUGGAAGGGUCGUAUUUAUUAGCCUUAAAACCAAUCCAGGCCCCGCCUGGUCCACUGGUGAGUCAUAAUAAACGAACGAAUCGCAUGGCAUCCGCCGGCGAUGGAUCAUUCAAGUUUCUGACCUAUCAGCUUCCGACGGUAGGGUAUUGGCCUACCGUGGCAUUGACGGG